rnacentral:rRNA from 1 species
CCUACGGGGGGCUGCAGUGAGGAAUAUUGGUCAAUGGACGAGAGUCUGAACCAGCCAAGUAGCGUGAAGGAUGAAGGUCAUAUGGAUUGUAAACUUCUUUUAUACGGGAAUAAAGUGCAGUAUGCAUACUGUUUUGUAUGUACCGUAUGAAUAAGGAUCGGCUAACUCCGUGCCAGCAGCCGCGGUAAUACGGAGGAUCCGAGCGUUAUCCGGAUUUAUUGGGUUUAAAGGGAGCGUAGGCGGGUGCUUAAGUCAGUUGUGAAAGUUUCGGGCUUAACCCUAAAAUGGCAGUUGAUACUAGCCGUCUGGAGUACUCUAGAGGCAAGCGGAAUUCGUCGUGUAGCGGUGAAAUGCUUAGAUAUAACAAAGAACACCGAUUGCGAAGGCAGCUUACUACACUGUCAUUGACGCUGAUGCUCGAAAGCGUGGGUAUCAAACAGGAUUAGAUACCCUAGUAGUC